UACGUAGGUGGCAAGCGUUGUCCGGAUUUACUGGGCGUAAAGAGCGCGCAGGCGGUCGUUCAAGUCGCGUGUGAAAGCCCCCGGCUCAACUGGGGAGGGUCACGCGAUACUGAUCGACUCGAAGGCAGGAGAGGGUAGUGGAAUUCCCGGUGUAGUGGUGAAAUGCGUAGAUAUCGGGAGGAACACCAGUGGCGAAGGCGACUACCUGGCCUGUUCUUGACGCUGAGGCGCGAAAGCUAGGGGA
rnacentral:rRNA from 1 species